rnacentral:rRNA from 1 species
GACGAACGCUGGCGGCGUGCUUAACACAUGCAAGUCGAACGGAAAGGCCCUGCUUUUGUGGGGUGCUCGAGUGGCGAACGGGUGAGUAACACGUGAGUAACCUGCCCUUGACUUUGGGAUAACUUCAGGAAACUGGGGCUAAUACCGGAUAGGAGCUCCUGCUGCAUGGUGGGGGUUGGAAAGUUUCGGCGGUUGGGGAUGGACUCGCGGCUUAUCAGCUUGUUGGUGGGGUAGUGGCUUACCAAGGCUUUGACGGGUAGCCGGCCUGAGAGGGUGACCGGCCACAUUGGGACUGAGAUACGGCCCAGACUCGUACGGGAGGCAGCAGUGGGGAAUAUUGUACAAUGGGCGGAAGCCUGGUGCAGCAACGCCGCGUGCGGGAUGACGGCCUUCGGGUUGUAAACCGCUUUCGCCUGUGACGAAGCGUGAGUGACGGUAAUGGGUAAAGAAGCACCGGCUAACUACGUG